rnacentral:rRNA from 1 species
GCAGCACGGGGGCAACCCUGGUGGCGAGUGGCGAACGGGUGAGUAAUACAUCGGAACGUGUCCUGUAGUGGGGGAUAGCCCGGCGAAAGCCGGAUUAAUACCGCAUACGCUCUACGGAGGAAAGGGGGGGAUCUUAGGACCUCCCGCUACAGGGGCGGCCGAUGGCAGAUUAGCUAGUUGGUGGGGUAAAGGCCUACCAAGGCGACGAUCUGUAGCUGGUCUGAGAGGACGACCAGCCACACUGGGACUGAGACACGGCCCAGACUCCUACGGGAGGCAGCAGUGGGGAAUUUUGGACAAUGGGCGAAAGCCUGAUCCAGCAAUGCCGCGUGUGUGAAGAAGGCCUUCGGGUUGUAAAGCACUUUUGUCCGGAAAGAAAACGCCGUGGUUAAUACCCGUGGCGGAUGACGGUACCGGAAGAAUAAGCACCGGCUAACUACGUGCCAGCAGCCGCGGUAAUACGUAGGGUGCAAGCGUUAAUCGGAAUUACUGGGCGUAAAGCGUGCGCAGGCGGUCCGCUAAGACAGAUGUGAAAUCCCCGGGCUUAACCUGGGAACUGCAUUUGUGACUGGCGGGCUAGAGUAUGGCAGAGGGGGGUA